rnacentral:rRNA from 1 species
UGCCAGCAGCCGCGGUAAUACGGGGGGUGCAAGCGUUGUUCGGAAUUACUGGGCGUAAAGCGCGCGUAGGCGGCUAUUUAAGUCAGAUGUGAAAGUCCAUGGCUCAACCGUGGAAGUGCAUUUGAAACUGGAUGGCUUGAGUACUGGAGGGGGUGGUGGAAUUCCCGGUGUAGAGGUGAAAUUCGUAGAUAUUAGGAAGAACAUCGGAGGCGAAGGCGGCUGUCUGGCUUGAUAUUGACGCUGAUGCGCGAAAGCGUGGGUAGCAAACAGGAUUAGAUA